rnacentral:rRNA from 1 species
AGCGAACGCUGGCGGCAGGCCUAACACAUGCAAGUCGAACGAAGCCUUCAGGCUUAGUGGCGGACGGGUGAGUAACACGUGGGAACGUACCUUUUGGUUCGGAACAACUCAGGGAAACUUGAGCUAAUACCGGAUGAGCCCUUAGGGGGAAAGAUUUAUCGCCGAAAGAGCGGCCCGCGUCAGAUUAGCUAGUUGGUGAGGUAAAGGCUCACCAAGGCUACGAUCUAUAGCUGGUCUGAGAGGAUGAUCAGCCACACUGGGACUGAGACACGGCCCAGACUCCUACGGGAGGCAGCAGUGGGGAAUCUUGCGCAAUGGGCGAAAGCCUGACGCAGCCAUGCCGCGUGUAUGAUGAAGGUCUUAGGAUUGUAAAAUUCUUUUACCAGGGACGAUAAUGACGGUACCUGGAGAAAAAGCCCCGGCUAACUUCGUGCCAGCAGCCGCCGGUAAAAC